GGGGCGGAGCGAGCUGGGCGGCGAGCGGCGCCCCGGGACUCUGAGGACACCGUGGCUAGCCGCCGGAGGCAGGAGUCGGCGUGGGAUGAGAUCACUCUUUCUGGAAAAGAAAGCCCCCAUGUCAUGAAGACAAUCAUGCAGCUUUACAGAAAGAUCCACAUAGUGAGGAACUGAGAUCUCCUGCAACUUGCAAGCAUGUGAGUGACACAUCUUAGGAUUGGUCCUCCAUCCUGUCAAGACUUCAGACUCAGCUGACAUAGAAAAUAAACAGUCACUGAACAUCUUGUCACAUGAUUCUCAGCUGGGACUUACUAGCCUUUUCAAGAUUUUUGGAUUCAAAAUCCUGAAGGAGUGAACAUAUUACAAAGUAAGAACUACUGUAAUUUUGUUUGUCUUUGAAACAUGUUCAGGGAUGGGUUGCUCCAGUCUGAUCUAAGAAGAAAAAUAAAAUUAUAGUUGAAGUAUUAUCACAUGACGCAAAACAUUUCUGGCAAAUUUAUGUUGAAUAUAGCUCUUGUCUCAUAGAUUCAGCAAAUUUCAUUUUGAUUAAAUUGUACACUAAAACAACAUAAAUGUAUUAUUAGUGUUUCACUUUACAAAUCAGAGAAAUUCUUGACAAAACAUUGGAUAUGUAAAGAGCAUUUUUAUUGGAACUAGAAAAGAAGGUACUAUUAUUGCUGCAAAUAGGUGUGGUAUUGACAAAUGGCAAAGACAAUAAAGA